rnacentral:rRNA from 1 species
UACGGAGGGGGCUAGCGUUGUUCGGAAUUACUGGGCGUAAAGCGCCCGUAGGCGGCUUUGUAAGUUAGAGGUGAAAGCCCGGGGCUCAACUCCGGAAUUGCCUUUAAGACUGCAUCGCUAGAAUUGUGGAGAGGUAAGUGGAAUUCCGAGUGUAGAGGUGAAAUUCGUAGAUAUUCGGAAGAACACCAGUGGCGAAGGCGACUAACUGGACACAUAUUGACGCUGAGGUGCGAAAGCGUGGGGAGCAAACAGG